UACAGAGGUCUCAAGCGUUGUUCGGAUUCAUUGGGCGUAAAGGGUGUGUAGGUGGCGCCGUAAGUCGGGUGUGAAAUUUCGGAGCUUAACUCCGAAACUGCAUUCGAUACUGCGGUGCUUGAGGACUGGAGAGGAGACUGGAAUUCAUGGUGUAGCAGUGAAAUGCGUAGAGAUCAUGAGGAAGACCAGUGGCGAAGGCGGGUCUCUGGACAGUUUCUGACACUGAUGCGCGACAGCGUGGGGAGCAAACAGG
rnacentral:rRNA from 1 species